GUGCUGAAAGCAUCGUAGGGUUUCGACAGUUUUACAUAUUUGCUGCUAUCCAGUCCAAGUAUGUACUAACCCUCGCGUAAACUCCUGGAUAUUCCGUUACGCCACAUUCUAUAAAAGCAAUCAAAGAAUGUCGAGAUGUAAUGCAGUGGGCAGCUGUUAGGAUUUUGGUCGGAGUAAUCAAAGAUCCGCCGCAAGAAGUAUCGAGGUCUCCAUUUUCCUCAUCACCGGAUGCAAGCGCCACCUAACGAUCCAGUAUUUUAAUUCAAAAUAUUAACCAUUAAAUUAAUCUUAUGCACACAAAAAAAGAUGACCAUUUACCAAGAAUGGGUAUUGAUUCGGAGUGGCUUCUUCACUUUCCGUCAUUCUAAAAGUGGCAUUCAACCUAUCCAUUCGAGACAUUGCACGCAGUUCGUUGCUUAAACAGAUAGAAUCAUCAGCAAUAGCAGGUUGAUCCCCAUCAUUCUUGGGACGAACAGCGACGUUUUUAACAGGGGCAUACGCUACCGGAGUGUCAAUUGGAGCGGCAAGGACAGGGACAUCUUUGACAGGGGCAUACGCUACCGGACUGGCAGCAGGAGCGACGUUGUUGAAGUGUACCUUAAAGCCCUUAUCGUCAGCUGUGUAGGAAGCACGAACCUCCGUACCUUCUGGAUUCAGGUAAACCCAAGAGCCAAUCAUGUGUCCAUUAGCGUCACGAACGUUAGAAGCUGCCUGGCCGUAGUAGGCAUAGCCAAAAUUCGUUCGCCCUUGAUCAUCCUGACUGUUCCAUUGUUGUAGCUGUUGUGAACGUGAGUUAAUGGAAGGUAGGGCCGGAUAUUGGAUACUCGCCGCUUGGACGUUGGUCACUGCCAACAACAGCAAAAGAUUCCAUUUGAUGCUCGUACUCGGCGCGUGAAGAUUCGACGAAGACUAUGUCCAAUUGUUUUGUCUUGGGCUUUUAUAUAGUCGAACAGGGAAGACUUGAAAGCUCUGGUGCUUCCUAUCUUUGUCUUUAAUGACCACGCCCGAAAUCAUUGUGACAAUGACUUGGAGAGUACAAGCCGUGAAUUUGAAUGGGAUAGCAACGAACAUGAACGGGGAAUCCCGGACAAACUGGAUGCGAACCCCACAGGAUCCACCUAAAUGAAUGCCAAAACACAAUUGAAAACAAUCAGCAAAGUUAGUAACCUGUCAACGUUUACCUAAAAUGACCAUCAACAAGAGGAAUGAACUUUUUCAUGGUCACGCAACUGAAAAUAACAAGAGCCAUGAAAGUGAACUGAUAUUCCUGUGUACGUGACUCGAAAAUGCAAAUUUUUUUACAUCUCAAUUGUACUGAGAAAAGGAUUUCAUUAAUCACUAUUGGUGAACGCAAUUGAAAUACAAGAAAAAACUUCAGGUUGGAAAACAAAAUUUAAGGAAUCAGAUCAAACUGCCAUAUGUCGGUGGGAACGCAACCUUCAAAUGGAUUUUUCCGCUUCCUUCGAUUCGGCAGCAUUCCAGCAACAAUGUCAAGUUCGCUAAGGCCCGAGAUUAAAAAGGUUGGUGCUGAAAGCGCAUUGCCUUUUCUGAAAAUAAAGAAGAGAACCACGAGAAGUGCAUGAUAUUCCACUCACCAUCAUGGAUGACGUGGCCGAUUUUCCGAUCAGUCCACCUCCCUAACUUGACCACAGUAACAGAAAAUUAAUUGUAAAGUAAAAAUAGUUUUAAUUAAUUAACUUUGAGAAACGUCCAAGAGGAGAAAUUCGGAUGUGUUUAACUAACAAGUGCCUCACAAACAAGUUGCACAUUUCACAACUGGUUUCAUUACCUGUUCACAUAGUAAUGAAGAGUUACGGAACUAAAAGUAUCCGUCGAUAGCUCAGUUGGUAGAGCGGUGGACUGUAGUUUCGAGUAACUGAAGAAAAACAAAGAAAGUUGUUAUACUUACGUGAAAAGAUAUCCAUAGGUCGCUGGUUCAACUCCGGCUCGACGGAAUAUUUUUUUUUUUUUUUUUGUAACUGUAGCAUCUUCUCUGCAUAAUUUUAAGACCAUUAAAUAUCUCCGGCAUGGAUCACCCAUAACUAUCAAGAAUUAUAAUUAAAAUUAAUUCAUGUUUCAGUAUUUUUAUCGCCGUAUUAAUAUAUUUUCUGGUUAAUGGAUAUACUUGGCUGAAAAUACGAGCGAUUAUACAUGGUGUGUUGAAUGGCUGCCCGUAACACCCAGCUAUCUUGGACGUGACGUGAUCGACCGGAACUUGCCAGCUGUUACGAGGAAACCAAACGACAACACUCACCUAUUUGAUACUGGUCAGUUAAUUCGUUUAAUGAGAUAAUUCCAUUCGGAUGAACUGAAAUUCAAUCCAUGCGAAUCAAGUUUAAAGGUCGAUGGUGACGUAAACCACCAUACAUUCUACAUGAAGAUUUGGAUAAAUUUCUCUAGAGUUGAAUAAAAUAGCUAAUCAACUUACUGAGCAUUCAAUUGUUAGUCCAACGCCCAUGAUGAUUGUGAGCCACA